CUGGAGACUUAGAAAAGAGAGUCCUUGAAGUCAAGUUGACUCUUACUGUUAGCCUCCUAGAUGAAAAGGUGGAUAGAACAGGUCUUGUUUGCAAAAUAAAUUCAAGACCUACUUAUCUACCUACAGCC
ensembl:scaRNA